rnacentral:lncRNA from 1 species
UGGGGAGUGAGCAAAUAAUCCCCUCCACCUCCACACUCCCGAGUAAGCCUGAGGGGCCUUCCAGGGAGCUUCGGAGAACCCCACCUAUAACCCAAUCAGGGAGGUUGGUAGAAUGAAACCGAAAAGGAAGGAAAAAAGCAUGUACCUGCCAAGCUGGUUUCCGCUGGGUUAAAGGCCUCUGUGAAGGCAUCAUUUACCUAAAAUCAUCCAACAUUGACACUGUCACCAAGGUGGCAGUCCCUGAAUCUUGGGCCCGAGUCUCCUGCUCAAGAGGGUCACCUGUGACUCCCUCCUCUCUCAGGCCUUCCAAUACAGCCACAGCCACCCAUAUAAUUGCCCCCAAGUGCUUGGCUAGGUCUCAAUAGUGACAGGGUGCAGCUGGAAGAUCGACGUCUCAGGAGCUGAUUUACUUCUCGAAGAACCGAGUUGGACCUUACCACCACUCAUUUUGGCCCUGACCCCAUCCUGUCUUUGGGCCUGUGGAGCAGAGUGGUCAAGCCAUUCCUACUGCAGGGCAGCUGGAGUGGGGCCUUUAGAAUGAAUCUGAGCCAGAUUCCAGCAAAGUUCAACACACUCAAGCUCUGCACCCUCAGGAUGAUGUAGCCCACGGUGCCUGGCUGGACCAAGAAGAAUGAGGACCAGGGCUGUGCUAGAACCAGGGUUUCACCAUGUUGCCCAGGCUGGUCUUGAAAUCCUGACCUCAAGUGAUCUGCCUGCCUCAGCCUCCCAGAGUGUUGGAAUUACAGACACUGUGUCCCUAGGAUGUUCCUUGUUCGGAAUCCAGCCUCAUCAGCCAUCCCACGGCCCGACAGAAGCAUCCUGACAUCAUCAAUCCACAAGAGACCAAACGUCUGCUGAGCCCAGAAUGAAUCAGACAAGAGAAAGGUUAGGCGGCCAGGGGGAGCUAAAAGCCCCUAAAAGUUUAAAGAGAUCCUACCAAAUGGGUGGUUGGCUCCCACAGAGAUUAGUUUUAAUCAAUUAUUAAGCAAUAGUUUAAUAUUUUAAGAGUCUGCUCAAUCACAGAGAAAUGAAAACAUUUCAUGACUUUUUUCCCUACAUCUUCCAAAGCAAAAAAUGUAAAGCAAGUGUACCUCCAGUGACACAUUUUUAAAAAA